GAUGAACGCUGACAGAAUGCUUAACACAUGCAAGUCUACUUGAACUUCGGUUUGGGUGGCGGACGGGUGAGUAACGCGUAAAGAACUUGCCUCACAGAUAGGGACAACAUUUGGAAACGAAUGCUAAUACCUGAUAUUAUGAUUUUAGGGCAUCCUAGAAUUAUGAAAGCUAUAUGCACUGUGAGAGAGCUUUGCGUCCCAUUAGCUAGUUGGAGAGGUAACGGCUCACCAAGGCGAUGAUGGGUAGCCGGCCUGAGAGGGUGAUCGGCCACAAGGGGACUGAGACACGGCCCUUACUCCUACGGGAGGCAGCAGUGGGGAAUAUUGGACAAUGGACCAAGAGUCUGAUCCAGCAAUUCUGUGUGCACGAUGAAGUUUUUCGGAAUGUAAAGUGCUUUCAGUUGGGAAGAAAAAAAUGGCGGUACCAACAGAAGAAGUGACGGCUAAAUACGUG
rnacentral:rRNA from 1 species